UAUAAAAGCCGGAGAAAUAAUAACCUUAUAACUUGGUCAGGACAGAAAUGGAGCAGCCACAUUAAGAAGUAUUAUGUUCACUGGCUUUUUAUAUA
rnacentral:SRP_RNA from 3 species